rnacentral:rRNA from 1 species
GAACGGGUGAGGAAUAGAUAGGUAACGUACCCUGGACUCAGGAAUAGCGGCGUCCUUCGGGACUUUAGCGAAAGUGCCGGUAAUACCUGAUGACAUCAUCGGAACGCAUGUUCCGUUGAUCAAAGGUCCGCAGGUCUGGGAGCGGCCUAUCUCCUAUCAGCUUGUUGGUGGGGUAAUGGCCUACCAAGGCGACGACAGGUACCAGGCGUGAGAGCGUGGCCUGGCACAUCGGGACUGAGACACUGCCCGGACAUCUACGGAUGGCUGCAGCAACGAAUAUUCCGCAAUGGACGAAAGUCUGACGGAGCGACGCCGCGUGCAGGAUGAAGCGCUUCGGCGUGUAAACUGCUGUCAGGGAUCGGGAAGCAAGUGACCAAUCCCAAAGGAAGCCCCGGCUAAGUCCGUGCCAGCAGCCGCGGUAAUACGGACGGGGCGAGCGUUGUUCGGAAUCAUUGGGCUUAAAGCGUACGUAGGCGGGAUGGAAGGUGUCUUGUGAAAGCCCUCGGCUCAACCGAGGAAUUGCUGGGCAAACCACCAUUCUUGAGGUCAGCAGGGGUACCUGGNAACUUUGGGUGGAGCGGUGAAAUGCGUAGAUAUCCAAGGGAACGCCAGUGGCGAAAGCGGGGUACUGGGCUGAUUCUGACGCUGAGGUACGAAAGCG